GUGCCCCUUGCCGCGGUAAUACGUAGGGGGCGAGCGUUGCUCGGAUUUACUGGGUGUAAAGAGCGCGUAGGCGGCCAGGUAAGUCCGUUGUGAAAGCCCUCGGCUCAACCGAGGAUCCGCAUCGGAAACUACUUGGCUUGAGUCCAGGAGAGGAGGGUGGAAUUCCCGGUGGAGGGGUGAAAUGCGUAGAUAUCGGGAGGAACACCGGUGGCGAAGGCGGCCCUCUGGAAUGGUACUGACGCUGAGGCGCGAAAGCUGGGGGAGCGAACGGGAUUAGAUACCCCGGUAGUCCCAGCCGUAAACGAUGGGCACUAGGUGUGGGAGGUAUUGACCCCUUCCGUGCCGCAGCUAACGCAUUAAGUGCCCCGCCUGGGGAGUACGGCCGCAAGGUUGAAACUCAAAGGAAUUGACGGGGGCCCGCACAAGCGGUGGAGCAUGUGGUUUAAUUCGACGCACGCGAAGAACCUUACCAGGGCUUGGACAUGCCGGUAGUACCAACCUGAAAGGGAAAGGAUCCCGCAAGGGAAGCCGGGCACAGGUGGUGCAAUGGCUGUCGUCAGCUCGUGUCCGUGAGAUGUUUGGGGUUAAGUCCCCGCAACGAGCG
rnacentral:rRNA from 1 species